rnacentral:rRNA from 1 species
AGCAUCUAUACAGUGAAACUGCGAAUGGCUCAUUAAAUCAGUUAUCGUUUAUUUGAUAGUACCUUACUACUUGGAUAACCGUGGUAAUUCUAGAGCUAAUACAUGCUAAAAACCUCGACUUCGGAAGGGGUGUAUUUAUUAGAUAAAAAACCAAUGCCCUUCGGGGCUCCUUGGUGAUUCAUGAUAACUUAACGAAUCGCAUGGCCUUGUGCCGGCGAUGGUUCAUUCAAAUUUCUGCCCUAUCAACUUUCGAUGGUAGGAUAGUGGCCUACCAUGGUUUCAACGGGUAACGGGGAAUUAGGGUUCUAUUCCGGAGAGGGAGCCUGAGAAACGGCUACCACAUCCAAGGAAGGCAGCAGGCGCGCAAAUUACCCAAUCCCGACACGGGGAGGUAGUGACAAUAAAUACUGAUACAGGGCUCUUUUGGGUCUUGUAAUUGGAAUGAGUACAAUUUAAAUCCCUUAACGAGGAACAAUUGGAGGGCAAGUCUGGUGCCAGCAGCCGCGGUAAUUCCAGCUCCAAUAGCGUAUAUUAAAGUUGUUGCAGUUAAAAAGCUCGUAGUUGAACCUUGGGCCUGGCUGGCCGGUCCGCCUCACCGCGUGCACUGGUCCGGCCGGGCCUUUCCUCCUGGGGAGCCGCAUGCCCUUCACUGGGUGUGUCGGGGAACCAGGACUUUUACUUUGAAAAAAUUAGAGUGUUCAAAGCAGGCCUAUGCUCGAAUACAUUAGCAUGGAAUAAUAGAAUAGGACGUGUGGUUCUAUUUUGUUGGUUUCUAGGACCGCCGUAAUGAUUAAUAGGGAUAGUCGGGGGCAUCAGUAUUCAAUUGUCAGAGGUGAAAUUCUUGGAUUUAUUGAAGACUAACUACUGCGAAAGCAUUUGCCAAGGAUGUUUUCAUUAAUCAGUGAACGAAAGUUAGGGGAUCGAAGACGAUCAGAUACCGUCGUAGUCUUAACCAUAAACUAUGCCGACUAGGGAUCGGGCGAUGUUAUCUUUUUGACUCGCUCGGCACCUUACGAGAAAUCAAAGUU